rnacentral:rRNA from 1 species
ACUCAAAGGAAUUGACGGGGACCCGCACAAGCGGUGGAGCAUGUGGUUCAAUUCGACGCAACGCGAAGAACCUUACCUGGGUUAAAUCAAGGGUGUAAGGUGCAGAGAUGCAUCCCCCGGGCAACCGGCGCUCUUGAAGGUGCUGCAUGGCUGUCGUCAGCUCGUGUCGUGAGAUGUUGGGUUAAGUCCCGCAACGAGCGCAACCCUUACCACUAGUUGCCAGCGGUUCGGCCGGGCACUCUAGCGGAACUGCCGGUGAUAAACCGGAGGAAGGUGGGGAUGACGUCAAGUCAUCAUGGCCUCUAUGUCCAGGGCUACACACGUGCUACAAUGGCCGGUACAAACCGUCGCAAACCCGCGAGGGGGAGCCAAUCGGAAAAAGCCGGUCCCAGUUCGGAUUGCAGUCUGCAACUCGACUGCAUGAAGUUGGAAUCGCUAGUAAUCGCAGAUCAGCACGCUGCGGUGAAUACGUUCCCGGGUCUUGUACACACCGCCCGU